rnacentral:rRNA from 1 species
CUACAGAGGGUGCGAGCGUUAAUCGGAAUUACUGGGCGUAAAGCGCGCGUAGGCGGCUUAUUAAGUCAGAUGUGAAAUCCCCGGGCUCAACCUGGGAACUGCAUCUGAUACUGGUAAGCUAGAGUUUUGGAGAGGGAAGUAGAAUUUCAGGUGUAGCGGUGAAAUGCAUAGAGAUCUGAAGGAAUACCAGUGGCGAAGGCGACUUCCUGGCCAAAAACUGACGCUCAGGUGCGAAAGCGUGGGUAGCAAACGGGAUUAGAAACCCUAGUAGUCC